GCAUAUCAAUAAGCGGAGGAAAAGAAACCAACAGGGAUUGCCUCAGUAACGGCGAAGUGAAGCGGCAACAGCUCAAAUUUGAAAUCUGGCUCCUUCGGAGUCCGAGUUGUAAUUUGUAGAAGAUGCUUCGGGCGUGGCUCCGGUCUAAGUUCCUUGGAACAGGACGUCAUAGAGGGUGAGAAUCCCGUAUGUGACUGGGUGCCUAUGCCCGUGUGAAGCUCUUUCGACGAGUCGAGUUGUUUGGGAAUGCAGCUCUAAAUGGGUGGUAAAUUUCAUCUAAAGCUAAAUAUUGGCCAGAGACCGAUAGCGCACAAGUAGAGUGAUCGAAAGAUGAAAAGCACUUUGGAAAGAGAGUUAAAUAGUACGUGAAAUUGUUGAAAGGGAAGCUCUUGCAACCAGACUUGCGCGUCGCUGAUCAUCCGGUGUUCUCACCGGUGCGCUCAGCGGCGCUCAGGCCAGCAUCAGUUUCGGUGGUUGGAUAAAGGCCCUGGGAAUGUGGCUCUCUUCGGGGAGUGUUAUAGCCCAGGGUGCAAUGCAGCCUACCGGGACUGAGGACCGCGCUUCGGCUAGGAUGCUGGCGUAAUGGUUGCAAGCGACCCGUCUUGAAACACGGACCAAGGAGUCUAACAUCUAUGCGAGUGUUUGGGUGUCAAACCCAUGCGCGUAAUGAAAGUGAACGGAGGUGAGAGCCCUUCAGGGUGCAUCAUCGACCGAUCCUGAUGUCUUCGGAUGGAUUUGAGUAAGAGCAUACAUGCUGGGACCCGAAAGUUAGUGAACUAUACUUGAAUAGGGUGAAGCCAGAGGAAACUCUGGUGGAGGCUCGCAGCGGUUUCUGACGUGCAAAUCGAUCGUCAAAUUUGGGUAUAGGGGCGAAAGACUAAUCGAACUAACUAGUAGCUGGGUCUGCGGA
rnacentral:rRNA from 1 species